AUGAAGGUCAACGCUGAUGACUUCUUCAAGGCAGCCGCCCUCGACAAGCCUAGGGUGACCAACAAGGUUGGAUCCAACGUCACUUUGAUCAACGUCAUGCAGAUUGCUGGACUCAACACCCUCGGCAUCUCAAUUGCGCGCAUCGACUAUGCUCCCUUGGGUCAAAACCCACCACAUACGCACCCUCGCGCCACUGAGAUCCUCACGGUGCUCGAGGGGACACUGUACGUUGGCUUUGUCACAUCCAACCAGCCCGCCCCAAACAGAAACAAGUUCCUCUCGAAGGUGCUCAACAAAGGUGAUGUGUUCGUCUUCCCCGUGGGGCUCAUCCACUUCCAAUUCAACCCCAACCCCCACAAGCCCGCCGUUGCAAUUGCCGCGCUCAGCAGCCAGAACCCAGGGGCUAUCACAAUUGCCAAUGCGGUGUUUGGGUCAGACCCACAAAUAUCCGAUGAUGUUCUUGCCAAGGCGUUUCAGGUGGAAAAGAAUACAAUAGACUGGCUCCAGGCUCAGUUCUGGGAGAACAACCACAACUAA
rnacentral:rRNA from 1 species